rnacentral:rRNA from 1 species
GAAUUGCGCAUGGGGGAAAGGGGAUCCCUUCUGCCGGAUCUGAAAAGAGGCUUCGUUCCUGUAAAGCUCUGUCAAUCAGGGACGAUAAUGACGGUACCUGAGGAGGAAGCCACGGCUAACUACGUGCCAGCAGCCGCGGUAAUAAA